ACCGCCGCCCCCCCCUCUCUCUCUCUCUCCCUCUCGCUCGCUCGCCGGUCGAGCCCGUCCCUCUCCCCCAAAUAUCCCCCCCCCCGCCAAAACGGCCGGCCCCCUCUCUCUCUCUCCCUCUCGCUCGCUUGCUCGUCGGUCGUCCCCGUCCCCCUCGUCGUUUAACCGGCGGCGUUGGUUCUCUCUCGGCGGUCGGCCACCCUCGACCGGGCCAUCCUUCACCGGUGCUCUGUUUGUGAAGGCAACUUUGAGUCCAAUAUACCUAUGGAUCUCGACAACACUGGGACACAGGGUAUGAGAUGUGCCUGGCCUUUUGGUUAUCUCCUAGACGCAGCUGACCAUGAGAUGACCAUCUUGCGAGAAAGCAUUAUGCAACAAAUGUGGCAGCAAAGACAUGAUUAGUAUUAUGUAUUGAGGAGGCUGUGGAAGACAUUAACUGAUAUUAUGCACUUUGACCGGUCUCGUUCUUUGUACUAAUGGUUGGGGUUUUUAUUGUGUAAUAUGUGUUUGGACUUUGAUGUUUGGUUUAUUACUGUCAGUUUAAUAUCAUGUUCACAUUGUGCUU